rnacentral:rRNA from 1 species
UACGUAGGGAGCAAGCGUUGUCCGGAAUCAUUGGGCGUAAAGCGCGCGUAGGCGGCCUCGUAAGUCCGUUGUGAAAACUCGAGGCUCAACCUCGAGACGCCGGUGGAAACCGUAAAGCUAGAGUCCGGAAGAGGAGAGUGAAUUCCUGGUGUAGCGGUGAAAUGCGCAGAUAUCGGGAAGAACACCCGUGGCGAAGGCGGCUCUCUGGGACGGUACUGACGCUGAGACGCGAAAGCGUGGGGAGCGAACAGG